GAUGAAGAACGUAGCGAAAUGCGAUAAGUAAUGUGAAUUGCAGAAUUCAGUGAAUCAUCGAAUCUUUGAACGCACCUUGCGCUCCUUGGUAUUCCGAGGAGCAUGCCUGUUUGAGUGUCAUGAAAUUCUCAACCUUUUCAGCUUUCUUUGUUGAUCAGGCUUGGAUGUGGGAGUAUGCGGGCUUCUCAGAAGUCGGCUCUCCUGAAGUGCAUUAGCGGGACCUUUGUUGCCUGGCUUUGGUGUGAUAAUUAUCUACGCCAUUGUAGUCAAGCAGCUUAAAAUGAGGUUUCAGCUUCUAACCGUCUCCCCUGAGACAACUUUUUGACAAUUUGACCUCAAAUCAGGUAGGACUACCCGCUGAACUUAAGCAUAUCAAUAAGCGGAGGA
rnacentral:misc_RNA from 1 species